rnacentral:lncRNA from 1 species
GGGUCCCCUUUUUAUAGGCGGAGGGUGCAACAUACUGAUAGCGACGUUUGUAACCGUCUGGCAGUGGGCCGUUUGGGGCCAGGAGGAGUUUAUUAUGAAGAGUAGUGGAGUAGAAUCAUGGCCAUCACCGUGGCUUGCCACGUGGAGCCUGUUGCAGGGAGUGGAGCGGCGUCCAUUGUCGCGACUUGCCAGAGAGUGGAGGAGCCACGCGGAAUCCACCGCAGGAAGUGGAGCAGAGUC